AUAAUAUGUUAUAUGUUAUAUGAAUAUAUUAUAUAAUAUAUAGUUUUUGUUCAUGAUGUCAACAUGUGCCCCUGGCGCAGAUCUUGGUGGUAGUAGAAAAUAUUCAAAUGAGAACUUUGAAGAGUGAAGUGUGGAAAUGUUCCAUGUGAACAUCACUUGGAGAUGGCCGGUUAAUUGAUCCUAAGAGAUGGGGAAUCCUUGUAUCAAGGGUGCACUCUGCAUGAACAUUGAAAGAGAAUUGGGUUAAUAUUCUCGAACCAGGACAUGGUGGUGGACAACAAUGUUAGGAAAUCUGGAGAUGUCAUCGAGGGCCUGGGAAGAAUUAUCUUUUCUUUUUAACAACAUUCCCACCCUGAAAUCGGUUCAACUGGAAAUAGGAUCCAACAUAUGAAAGAGAACAAAACGUCUUGCAUUGUUUGGUUCCCCCUCGACGGCCAUUGAAAAUAUGGAGAACCGAGUACAAUCCAUGCCCAAUCGUACUCAUAUUUGCCUCCUUGGAUUUUUCAAUGUCCACUAGGUUAGCGAUCUUGAU
rnacentral:ncRNA from 1 species